rnacentral:rRNA from 1 species
GAACGGGCCAACGAGUUACGUUAAGUAGCAAGGUUAAGCACUUAAGGUGCGGAGCCGUAGCGAAAGCGAGUUUUAACUGAGCGUUCAGUUACUUGACGUAGACCCGAAACCGGGCGACCUACCCAUGGGCAGGAUGAAGCGAAAGUAAAAUUUCGUGGAGGUCCGAACCCACGAGCGUUGAAAAGCUCGGGGAUGACUUGUGG